rnacentral:rRNA from 1 species
UACGUAGGGUGCGAGCGUUAAUCGGAAUACUGGCGUAAAGCGUGCGCAGGCGGUGAUGUAAGACAGAUGUGAAAUCCCCGGGCUCAACCUGGGAACUGCAUUUGUGACUGCAUCGCUGGAGUGCGGCAGAGGGGGAUGGAAUUCCGCGUGUAGCAGUGAAAUGCGUAGAUAUGCGGAGGAACACCGAUGGCGAAGGCAAUCCCCUGGGCCUGCACUGACGCUCAUGCACGAAAGCGUGGGGAGC